AGGAAGCCUGUAGAAUGCCAAAGCAUAUGUCUGCAUAAGUGUCAAACUUGUAAAUUAGCUGUUGUUACAAAAGUUUAACAAUGGGGAAAUGGUCACAUACAAACAUUGGUUUGGGCAUUAGGCUUUUGAGUCUUGCUGUUUUUAAACACUUCAGCUGACGUUGAUAUGAAACUGGGGCAUAAAACCAGGAGCCGGACAUGUGAUCUGUUGCCAGUUGCCUUCAAACUACCACGUGAUGAGGAAAAAAAGAGAGGAAGUGGAUGGAGAAAUGGGACAGGUCAUCUGGACUCUGAUAAUUAAUGUUCCUUAGAAAAUAAAAGUUUUGAAACUUUCCUGGAAAUGAGGUUUUAUGAUCUGCUACAAUGGCCCACAGGGGGAAUGCUGCAACCUACACAUAUUGACAAUUGUGGUAUUACCAGGCAGUUCAUUUUUAUGAGUAAUUUCCAGACCAACCCUCAACCAUGCAGUCAUGCAUACAGUGCAACAGUGUGCCAUAGAAGAAAGACUCAGCUAGAGGCCAAAGAUUAUACAGAUUUAUUAAUAUUUGGGAAAAAGAUCCUAACAGCAGAAAGCAAAUUGAGCAAGAGAGAGGGGAAGAAAGAAUGGACUUGACAACAAAGCGAGCUCUGUAAGGAUGUGAUCCAGAGCACAGUGAACUCAAUAGAAAGAUUUCCAUUGAUUUCUUAAGAUCUUGGAUAGAUCUCAAGGGAACAGAGACACUCUGUCUUAUACCUUUCCCCCUUCUUUCUCCAGCUGAAUUGAAAAUACAUUCUUUCUGGUUCACAACUAGUAUCAUUUAGUAAUCAAGCAUCACAAUCAAAAUGUUGAUCAUACUUGGGAUGUUAAAGCCAAGAAUCCUUACCUAAGCAGCCACAGAAAUGGCUUGGCUUUUCCAAGGGCUAAGCAAUUUGCAAAUUCUCUCUAACAGUACUUUCAACAUUUUAUUAGAUUCAGAGUAGUCUUAUCGCAUACUUAACUUUGCAAACCCACUCUGCUUUCUCCUUUACAAAACUUUGCAAACCCACUCUGCUUUCUCCUUUACAACACAGAGACUAGCGGAGAAGUUGGAUCCGUAAUCUUGUUUCUCUUAAAUCCUUCUCCAUAAACACUUUUCUUGUAAAGGUAAUGACCCGUUUAGUUGUCUUCUCUUUAUGUCUGGUUUAAGUAGUUAUAGCUGUUACUUUUAAAUAGCUAUUAAAUAUUUCAGUAGUUCUUAAACCAUGCCAAAGAAUACUUGGAAUAAGAGAACAAUGAACACAGAUGACUGAAAAUGAAGUUGUAGAAAUGAAUUUGAUUAUAUAUUAUUCAGAAGAAAAAACCAGUUUUUUUGAAGUCCCUGUUAAGGGCUGUUAGAGAAAGCAAUAUACUUUGCACUGAGUGAGGCUACAUAGAUCAUGAACCCUGGCCUCAAGUAAUAUAUCUCCAAGAUCAGCUCAGUUAUCUGCUUUCAAAAUCUUUCCUUCUAUGGGAACAAAGGUUUGCUGCAUAAUGUAAGCAGUGUUUGACAAACUCAUCCUGCUGUGAUAGCAACUUGUAUUUCAUCCUACACACUGAAGAACAUAAUUUAUCUUAACACUAGGCAUUGAGCAAGGCUAGCUGUGGGGAAGUAGAACUACUAGGGUUUCCUUUUACUACUGAACUCAAUUGAAAUCUGCAGUUAAGCCAAGCCUGGUUUAAGUACUCUGUUAAUUAUUUUCUUUAACAUGGUGUGAAAGACCAAGGCUGCUUUGUCGCAAUAGGUGGGUAAGUUACCAGCGAGAUGUGCCGAGUUGAGGAGCUGGUGACAACAGACAGAAAGAGGAAUCCGCAUUACUCCCCAUCAGUUUGGAGAUAUAAGAAUAAACUUCCUUAUAGAGAAACCUGGAACAUUUUCAGUGCAGAACAUUCAACAGAUAGUCCUACUGUCUGAUAGAUCACAGCCUUCUCAGUGACCUGGAGUUCAGGAGUGAACCCUUCCAGGUCCCUAAGAACAAACCCCUCACUUUGCCCAGGCUGUAUGUGGUUGGAGUGCCUGCUCCUCGUCUUCCUCUCCACCGGGAUGCCAGCUGUGUCAGAAAGCCCAGAUUCCAUGAUCUGAGGAUUUACCCAUUCCCUUCACUAGCACAGAAGCUACUGGCUUUGGCAGUUCACUCUGUGAUGUUUCCUGUAAGACCCCGUAAGGCAGCAUCAGUGGAGAGACAGUUGUCCUUCCCCUGGCCUAAACACGUGCACACACACACUAACAACAGGCAUUAGCAAGUCCUCCUGUAAGGUGAUUCUGACCGAAGGGGCACAGUGCCAGCACUGUCUCAAGCUCUGCAACAGAGCAGAAAAAAUGCAGUAGAAACGGUUUAAAAGAACAUAAAUGAAUAAAAACCGGUGGUUCUCUGCUAUUACAGCACUGGACACCGAACAUCAAUUCCAGUCUAAAGUCUAAAAUGAUGAAGCACAGAGCAUGUGGAGUUUUCAGUUUAACUUCUGACCCAGACCUCCCUGAGGACAGUGGGAAUCCCUCUGGGUUUGAUAAGGCACAGUAGGGGCUCUUUUCUCAAGGACAGGUAAACACAUAGUGAUUAACAGGUCAUAAAGGAGAACUGAUCUUACUUCAAGGACUUGUUUUCUCAGAUUCAACCUGCACUAUCAUCGGUGAAGAUCCCCUGGGGGUCCUGCAGUUUUCCCUCUUUGGCUUGCUCUCAGGAUUUGUUUUAGUGAGUCCCCUGUCCACAAAGAGGUGUGACAGGCUGAUGCUUGAAAACCUGGUCCUGUUCACUCUGUCUGUGUCACAAUAGAUCUAAUUUGUCUACCAGGAAGCCCCUUACGACCUGAGGAAUAAAGGGGACACAGACUUUAUUUGUAGAAGGUAUUUUAAAAACUUGGCAUUGUUGCCACAAAUAAUGUUCAGAUGGAAAAUCCUGAUUCAUAAACCAGUAUACAAAGGUAUGAGUUUGUUGGCCAGAAACAAUUACUUAUUCCAUGCUGUGGAACAAUAAGCCCACUAGCAUACUGAGCUUGGUUAUAUACAGAAGUGAUGAUGAUGGUAAAUAUGAUAUAGUUCUAUGUCUAUGACAAAAUUAAUGGAUUUUUCUAUGGACCCAGUGCAAAUGCUAUUGGAGUCCCCAGAAAAAAAACGACAAAAAAACCCCCAAACAAAAAUCAAAAGGUGCUUUUCUGUGUUUGCAUAUGUAAGAAGAUGAAUGUCGGUUUGGAUUUCAAAAACACGAGUCUCAGGAUGUAUCCAGACACAUCCAACACAUGACUACACAGCUGAUGUAUACAUUUCUCCUUUUUUCCACUCUCACCAUAACGUUCAUCAAAGCAGUGGAGAUGUUUGAUAUUCCUGGUGAGAUGAGGUCAGUGCCCCUCUCUUGGAGCUGAAUCAUGUGAAGUAGAAGCUGAAAGAGGACAGAGGGCAUGGGAGAGAAUAGGUACUAUUUUUAGUACAGGGGCAUUCUUCAGUAGCCCUGGUAUCAUAGGAAUCUGCAAGGAGAAGUCUCUGUUGGGGACGUGAUUCAUGAAAUAAUAUACAGAAGGUAUGUGGUGACCUGCAAGUAGCAGGCUUCUCUACAGUCAUGUCAUUGACACCUCUUUGCAAUUUGAUUUUACCAUAAAUGUGUGCUAAUAUUUCAGACAUGAUUUUUUCCCUUGGUCUUUUAGAGGGUAGCACAGAUGGUGACUUCUCUUGUGCGUUUUGCCCUUUACGCUUGUUUCUAGAGACCACCUGAGUGCCUCCAUUGUGGCUCUGUUCUUUUCAGAGUGCUAUUGAUUACAUACUGCACUUCGUGGGAAUCCGGUGUAAAGGGACAGCUUUAUAAGCCAUCACGGGCUCCAGGUUGGAAGCCAGGGCUGACUUCUGGAUGCCAAGUUAGGAAUAAUUGCCUGAGUAAAAACUCAGGGAGGAGUCUGUCCACACAGCUGCCAUAAAGGCUGCAGUCAGAGGAGCUACAGUUGUCGGUAGAUUUCGUCUUGUUUUUCAUGUUCUCUGGCCUUAUCAGGUCCCUGUGUCUACACAGAUACGUGUUUAUUUACAGAUGUAGAACACAUCCUCAUCAAACAAUUUUUGGGCACAUGUUCAAAAAGAGGUAAAAAAUGCAUUGACUGGCCACUACAGCUAAUAGUUAGUAGCUUUUAUCUAAACGUGUAAAAGUUUUUUGACAUGAUAAACUGCUACAGUUUUCACAGAUGUGGAAAGGCAGUUGCAGAAGAGUUAGAUGAAGGACUCUGGUUGGUAGACUUUAACAUAAAAGACUCCUCCAACUCUCUGGACAAGUCAGUAGUGUGGAGAAGACUAAAAAGAGGAGCUGACUCUAAUCCUUUGCCCUAACCACUGUCCCAGCUGCUUUUCACAUGACCUGCCACUUUACCUAUUCCCAACACAAAGCUCCCAACGUGUUUCCUUUAUUUAAUGCAUCAAAACAUCUUUUUAAAAUAAUCGAAAAUGUGGCCCUUACUCAAGGCUGCCCCUGAGUGAUAGCUUUAUCUAUUUUGUCAAUUGCCAGAAGGACACAGUGUGGUCCUGGAGAGUCUCUGGACAAGGUAAUAACAGAGAGUUGCUUCAUCAAAGCUCUUCCCAUGAGGGACGAGAUCUGUAACUUUGUUUUUAGUGGAACAAGCUAACAUCUCCAAAGGCGCAGUAGGCAUCAAAAUACAGUGCUUCUGAGCUCUGUAUGCAAAAGGUCAGGCAGUGUUUAAUCCUGAGGGUGACCUCAUGGACCUCGAGGGAAUUUCAUCAAGGAUGUAGUUAGUCUGUAUUUUGCAAUAAUCUGUAGGAAAUAAGCUUGGCAUUUCAGAGAUAAAAUUCGCAAGCAGUACCAUUCCAGUCACCCAAAGUACUUUGUAGACGGGAUUUCUGUGACAGUUUAUUUCUAAAAAAGUCUCAUGUUCUAAACUGAAACUUUCAGCCCUUACUCAGGCAAAAAUUGCACAGAAACCAGUAGGAAUACUGCCUAGAGCAGAGUGAAAUAAAAGCUGGAGAAUCUGGUGCUGUGUUAUUUGGCUCAUGCUGCAAAACUUCAGCAAAUUUGUCUCUCACAAGCAAAGUGAGCCGUUUUGACAGCUUUUAUUAUAUUGAAUUACAAUGACAAAUAGGGGCAUUGGUUUGUAGAACAUUUGAAAGCGUGAUAAACACAGUCCUAAUGAGAAAGAUGUUUCUUUUUAUUUGAAAGAACACCACUGUUUUUUCUCAUGCAUACUCUAGGUGCACCAACAAAAAUAGAAGACCUGGUUAUCUAAGGCAAAAUUCCUGAAAUAUCAUUCUCUAAUUCUCUAAGCUUUCACUUAUUACUUUUUAUUCCCAGAAGUAUUUGAUGAUUUUAUUGUCCACAAAAACUGUGACAGUAAUAAAAGAAAAUAAAAUUCUUAGUGCAAACAUAGAGUACCUCAGUGUUUUCUUAUGAAUUCAAGAAUGAAUGUAAAGUCAAACAUGCUUUUCAACAUUAAAAAUCUUAUUGUCCAGAGGAUAAAUGGUGCUUACAGUAAGCGGGUUGCUCUUGUAUCUCCUAUGCAGUUACAGUUCUUGGAUUGUUUAACUCCAGUUUUACCCACCGUGGCACUUUUUGAUCUUUGAAGACUACACCUGCUGAGAUCAAGCCCAGGAGCUGCCCAGAACAGAGACGCUUCUCCUAGUGCAUCCUGGCAGCAUUGCCUGUUCUCUGCAAGUUCAUCGCUCCAGGAACUUGCUCUGUGUGCACAAAUGCAGUGGGGUGCAGGACCAGAUGAGAGGAAGCAGCCAAGAAAGGCACAGGAGCAGAAUGCAGAUGGAAAUGAUGCAAGAUACGACAAAUGUAUAUUCCUAGUUUAGGUGGAUGCACAAGAAACAGCUGCCGCUGGGGCAGCCUCAGAUCAUCCAAACUGUGCUGAGAAGGGGCACAGCUAAAGGAUUUUUUUAUAUGUUGUCUCAUCCUCAAGGCGUGUUUUUCAGAGUGCAGAAAUGCUUUUUAUUGCAUUAGAAGCCACCUGCUGCACAUUUACAAUUUUUAAAUCAUCCUUGCUUAGAUUCAGCAGAGUUAGGGAUAGGGAACUCCUAUUGGAUCCCAUUAUCAUUUGAACUACCAGAGCAGUAUUGUUCUAUAUGUUAAUUUGCCAAGCACUCUGCUCAUGUUUAAAUAACUCGGUGUAAUAGCCAUGUAAUUAUUGCCUGUGCCUCUUAAUACAUAUUCAUAAGUUUGAAAAAAGUUUUAAAAUCUUUCUCUUAGAGUUCAAACACCUUCCUGCCUCUUUUUAACCCUUUAAACCACUCCUCCUCGUCAAGAAGAUCAUGUUGACUUAAUUUUAUACAUGGGGCAGUGGAGGGAGGACGAAUCUACACUGACGACUUAUGCUCUAUUUCCUUUUACCAGAUUGCUUUUAGACUCUCUUUUGAAUGAACCGAUUCCCUUAAAAACAAAACCCAAGAGGAGGGUUUGCUCCCGGAACCUCUCCAGAAGCACAAUGAAAAAGGAAAUGCCAAGUUUGACUCCUUGCACCCCACACAGACUAUCCCCAGUGGCUGCUCAAAGUGAUGUUUGGGAGGGUACAUGUCCCCACAUGAGCUUCAGCCCUUGGAGUGGCAGAAUUGCUGGGAACCAGCUAGCACGACAGGCAGAGGUGGAGUUUAUUUGGCUGAGAUGGUGCUAUCCCAACACAUCUACUCCCAUGCCCUCUUGCUGUCCAGCAGCCUGGUCUCUCGGCUCACAGCCUCGCAGCCCCAGCCCACUGGAGGAUGCCUUCCCCUCUGCCAGCCUGCCCGCCCCAUCCAGGCACAGCCUGGCAGCCUCCUUACUCCAUGGCCAGGGUUUCUGGAGAGCUGUGUAUGCUGGCAUCGCAUGGGGCAGCUCUGGGAUGUCAGGGCUGCAGGCAGCACUGCUGGGUUCCCAGAGCAGCAGGGCUGCACCUUCCCUCUGCAAGAAGGUUUCUGCCGGGCCACGCUCAGGCCUUCCCCCAUGACAGACCUGAAAUGCAGAGGUGUAUGCCCAAAAGUACGAGGCCUUGUCACCAGGGAAUUUGCCUGGUGUAGGAAAAACACCUAAGGCUGGUGAGGA